GUGCUCACUUUGUCAGCACAUAUGCUAAAAUUGGAAGAGUACAGAGAUGAUUAGCAUGAUUCCUGUGCAAGAAUGACAUGCAAAUUUGUGAAGCAUUCAACAUUUUU
ensembl:snRNA U6 U6 spliceosomal RNA